AUGAACGCUGGCGGCGUGCCUCAUACAUGCAAGUCGAGCGAACAGACGAGGAGCUUGCUCCUCUGACGUUAGCGGCGGACGGGUGAGUAACACGUGGAUAACCUACCUAUAAGACUGGGAUAACUUCGGGAAACCGGAGCUAAUACCGGAUAAUAUAUUGAACCGCAUGGUUCAAUAGUGAAAGACGGUUUUGCUGUCACUUAUAGAUGGAUCCGCGCCGCAUUAGCUAGUUGGUAAGGUAACGGCUUACCAAGGCGACGAUGCGUAGCCGACCUGAGAGGGUGAUCGGCCACACCGGAACUGAGACACGGUCCAGACUCCUACGGGAGGCAGCAGUAGGGAAUCUUCCGCAAUGGGCGAAAGCCUGACGGAGCAACGCCGCGUGAGUGAUGAAGGUCUUCGGAUCGUAAAACUCUGUUAUUAGGGAAGAACAAAUGUGUAAGUAACUAUGCACGUCUUGACGGUACCUAAUCAGAAAGCCACGGCUAACUACGUG
rnacentral:rRNA from 1 species